rnacentral:lncRNA from 7 species
AAAACCUUCGUUGUGUUCGCGGACGUCGCUUCGAGUUUAGUCAUGGUACGUUAAUUGAUCACGUGCUAUGGAAGACGAGUGGAAUUGAUCUCCAAGUGAUGCUGAUGGACGAAGCUAAAGUGGAUGAAUCAAACAAGCACCAGGAUGAGAGAUGCUCACCAAGUGGUCAUCAUCUAACCACACUAACCUAGUGUUAUCCCAGGUUGAAAUUUUGUUCUGUUGUGGAUGGUGCUAAGUGCCGGUGGGCUCGGCCUUCUUAUAUAAGUAUAUCCCAUCUUUAACUUCUUUAUUGAGGAUUGUCACUUAAGCUAGCAUGUAUUUUAAAAACUAUAAAUAUUUUAUACAUUUUAAAUUAUAAUUCUUUUGAAUCACUUUCUUUUGUAAUCACUCCGAUAAUUGUAUAAUGUAAACUUAUUGUAACAUGUAAUCAUUUUGCAAUAAAGAAUUUAUUUCCGCUGC